GUUUGCACACUCUGCAUGUCCUGCAGGACACACUGCUUAGGCCCUGCCAGGCCUGUCUGGACAGGAGAGACUGCCCUGGACACAAGAGCCUGAGCCCAGGACCCUGGAGCCAUGGGGAGCGGCGCGACGCUGAGGGGUGCAGCGGGGUGCAUGAAGGAGCUGGCUGCUGACCCCCAGGGCUGGAAAGGGUAGGAGCAGGGGCUGCCCAGGAGGCUGUUGGCAUCCUGUUCCCUUUGCCCCAAUCCCUUUAACUCUCCCGCUUUUCACGGCAUUGUGUAUAUUUUCCUAAGUAUGGCAGAUGCUUUAUGAAACGAAGUAGGAUUGUAAAUAUAGACAACAAUACGCAGUAUAUUAAUUAUUGCAACUCUCCUACUAAUCUGUUUUGAUACGCUGUUUUAUUGAUAUUUGCAUUUUUUUCUAAAAAGUGAAUCAGUUCAAAAGGCUCACCACAGACCUACCACAUGACCCAGGAAUUCACUUCCAGGUAGAAAUGAAAGCAAGGACAUUGGCCAGAUGUAGUGGUGGCACAUGCCCAUAACCCCAAUAAUCAGAAGGCUGAGGCAGGAGGAUCACCAGGAGUUCAAGGCCAACAUGGGCUCAGUAGUGAAGUCAAGGCCAUCUUAGACUGUAUAGUGAGAUCCUGUUUCAACAAACCAGAAAAGAAAUAAAGUAGGGGCUCUGAGGCUGCUAUUCGCAGCUCUGAUAGCAGCAUUAUUCACAAUAGCCCAAAAUUAAAAUAACCCACAUGUCUAUCUACAGAGGACUGGAUAAAAGGAAUAUGGGAUAUCCAGAUGAAGUAUAUUACUCAGCCAAACAAAGGAGUCAAAAUGUGAUGGGGGCGGGCUUGAAAGCAUGGACAAAGCUUGAAAACAUGCUUAGUGAAAUAAUCUAGUCACUACAGAAUGAAUAUUGUAUGAUUUCACACACGAGGUGCCUAGAAUAGACCAAUUCACAGAAAGAAUUUGGCUGUGGUGGUGUAUGCCUGUGAUCCCAGCACUUGGGAGGCCCAGGCCAGCCUGGGCCACAUAGCAAGACCCAAGAAUUCCAGGUGACAGUUUGGAGCGCAUGGGGGCCGUGGGGUGGGGAUUCUUUUCUGUUUUGUUUUCUGUCCCCAGCGUGAGGAACCGUGGGCCACGCAGCAGACACACAAUCAGUAUGCCCGGACCGCGUGACCGGUGUUGUCCUAUCCGGUCCUAUGAGCAGGACUGUGAGAGAUGUUCUUCUCCCUUCUGUUCAGAGAAGAAAACAGCAACAGUCCAGCAAAACUAGCCCUGAAGAAGAUCCGCUCGGCAUACACUGGAAGCUCCAUGUGGCUGCUGCUUUCUCCACUGUGUGUUCACCCUGCGGCCCAUUUUUCUCCCUUCCCUGUUUUCACUUCCUUUGCUCUCAGCACCCGGUUCCUGCUCCACCUUGAGGGCCUGGGAAGAAUUCCUCCUCCCCUCCCUCUCUCCCCCUUCUCCUCCUCCCCGGGAGGUGCUCUGACAAAUAUGCCCACUGUCCUCACCAUUUCCAGGGGUACUGUUGUUCCUCGAAUGGAGUUCAGGCCUCUUUUGGGCUGGACCAUGGUGCAGCGGGUAUUUAAGGCUCUACUGAGCUGGGCAGAAUUCCCACUGUCAUAGUCCUUCUUAUCAGUAGGUAAUCAGAAGCCCUUGGUCAAACAUCCCUCUGUGUCAGUCAGUAAUGAGACACAGUGGUGUCGUAACCUCCUGACUAUGGUGCGUAACAUACAGCCCUGGGUUUGUGCUGUUCCUGUCAAAGACACAUAGCUCAUUAGCAAGCAAGGAGUCAAACCCACACUGAGGCACAUCCAUCUACUCCAUCAGGAUGGCAAGGUCACGAACAACCAGGAAACCUGGAAAGAUUUUCUAGCUAAAAGGAGCCUGAGGGCCAUAGUGACUAGUACCACCUGUGCUCUCAGUUUGGGUGCUGGACCUGCAAAAACAUAUGUGGUAUAUCAAGUAUCGUGUAGGUUCAGUCCAUGGUUCCAUGGCAGUAUUGAAUCAGUGUCAGUUUCCUAGUCAUCGUGGUCAUUGUAUUUGGGAAAUGUCCUUGUAUUUGGGAAAGGCACAGUUAAAUGUCCAAUGGGAAGAAACCCCUCUGCCUUUGAAUGCAGGAGUGCAGGGUAAGAGAAUGGGCUUGGAGAUCCAGUUCCCCUGGACUAGUCCCCAAGGCCAAGUCAGUUUCCUCCUGUGUGAUGUAGGGCUAGCAGUACACCUGCACCCAAGGGGGGGGGUGCUGAUGAGAUGCUGUCAGAAGGAACCUAAGCUGGUGUCCAGCAGAAGUGAGCCCUCCAUGAAUGCUUACUAGCUUGGUGGCCUAUGCGUGACUCAAGGGGACGCACAACAUCCACUGGAUGAAAUGUUGGCCUUAGGGCUGGGGAUUUAGCUCAGCGGCAUAAGCGCUUGCCUUGCAAGUGUGCAGUCAUGAGUUCAAUCCCCAGUACUGGAAAAAAUAAAGAAAAGAAAAAGAAUUGCUGGCCUUGCAGUGUUGAGACCUGUGGUGGAUUGAAAUCAGUGGUCAACUUAAACACCCGCGGAACUAAAUCAGCGUGGUGCUGAGUGCAGAUAGAUGGUCCACCUGAAGACUGCUGCCAGCAUUAAAAGGAGAAUCAGAGAGGAAGAAUAUUGUUGUUUGGAGCUGGUUCUCCUGGAGGAACUUGUCACGCUGGCUUCCCUAACAUGAAUUCGGCAGUUACCACUGGAGGAGCUCAGGACCUUGUUGCUGAGAAUGGCUGCAGUUCACUUUGGGAGAGCUCUGGCCCUUACUUUGAGCAUCACUUCCUGGCUGCUCCAGGGUAGAACCCUCAACCUACUGACACAGCUCCUUUACCCCACUGGUACAGACUUUCUGGCUUCUACAGCUGACCUUGGGGCCUUCCCAGUGCAGAUCUGUGAAGCAGACUUGCAUGAGUCAUUGUCAUGGGCUCCAGGCCUCCAGUUGGACUUGUGGGAGGCGCUAUCACGGGCUCUGGGUCUUCGUCUGGACGCAUGCAGGUUGCCGUGGGAUGCAGGCCCUGGAUGGAUUCUCUAGGUCUUUGGUGUUAUGGACAGAAUACCUGCACUCUCUUUAUAUCUGACUCCUUAGGUGACCAUUGUAAAUAAUACUGUAAAUUAUGUGUUUUGUGUUGUCUUGUUUUCCUGUUGAUCCCUUGGGAAAAUGUCACUGUGGUCAUGAGGACUGCCAUCUUUGGGGACAACCCCUGGCCAUCAGAUCCUAAGUCCACAUGGAAAAUGUAAAGGAAAGCUCCAGCUCUGACGUUUGCAUCAUUGUCUGGGCCUCUCGCUCCUGAGGCUUCUGUUUCUUCCUAACUGCCUGUGGCUUGAUUGAAUUUUAUAUUUUAUGUGGUA